UAGAUACCUGGUAGUCCGCACAGUAAACGAUGGAUGCCCGCUGUUAGCGCCUGGCGUUAGCGGCUAAGCGAAAGCAUUAAGCAUCCCACCUGGGGAGUACGCCGGCAACGGUGAAACUCAAAGGAAUUGACGGGGGCCCGCACAAGCGGAGGAACAUGUGGUUUAAUUCGAUGAUACGCGAGGAACCUUACCCGGGCUUGAAUUGCAGAGGAAUUAUUUAGAGAUAAAUAUGCCUUCGGGGUCUCUGUGA
rnacentral:rRNA from 1 species